rnacentral:rRNA from 1 species
CCCUUAGAUGUUCUGGGCCGCACGCGCGCUACACUGAUGCAUUCAACGAGUCUAAAACCUGGUCUGAUAGGGCUGGGUAAUCUUUCGAAAGUGCAUCGUGAUUGGGAUAGAUGAUUGCAAUUCUUCAUCUUCAACGAGGAAUGCCUAGUAAACGCAAGUCAUCAGCUUGCAUUGAUUACGUCCCUGCCCUUUGUACACACCGCCCGUCGCUCCUACCGAUUGAAUGAUCCGAUGAAUACCAUGGAUUGAGAGUACGAAUGGGUUCGCUCAUUUCUGCUGCUCGAGAAGUGGAGUAAAUCUUAUCAUUUAGAGGAAGGAGAAGUCGUAACA